rfam:Homo sapiens chromosome 3, GRCh38 reference primary assembly.
GCCGGGCACGGUGGCAUGUGCCUGUAAUCCAAGCUACUCGGGAGGCUGAGGCAGGAGAAUUGCUUGAACCCGGGAGGUGGAGGUUGCAGUGAACUGAGAUCGUACCACUGCACUCUAGCCUGGGCAAUAGAGCAAGACCCUGUCUCAA